GGGGGCGUAGCUCAGCCGGUAGAGCAACGGACUUUUAAUCCGUGAGUCGUGGGUUCGAGUCCCACCGCCCUCACCA
rnacentral:tRNA from 1 species